GAUGAACGCUGGCGGCGUGCCUAAUACAUGCAAGUCGAGCGAACGGACGAGAAGCUUGCUUUUCUGAUGUUAGCGGCGGACGGGUGAGUAACACGUGGAUAACCUACCUAUAAGACUGGGAUAACUUCGGGAAACCGGAGCUAAUACCGGAUAAUAUUUUGAACCGCAUGGUUCAAAAGUGAAAGACGGUCUUGCUGUCACUUAUAGAUGGAUCCGCGCUGCAUUAGCUAGUUGGUAAGGUAACGGCUUACCAAGGCAACGAUGCAUAGCCGACCUGAGAGGGUGAUCGGCCACACUGGAACUGAGACACGGUCCAGACUCCUACGGGAGGCAGCAGUAGGGAAUCUUCCGCAAUGGGCGAAAGCCUGACGGAGCAACGCCGCGUGAGUGAUGAAGGUCUUCGGAUCGUAAAACUCUGUUAUUAGGGAAGAACAUAUGUGUAAGUAACUGUGCACAUCUUGACGGUACCUAAUCAGAAAGCCACGGCUAACUACGUGCCAGCAGCCGCGGUAAUACGUAGGUGGCAAGCGUUAUCCGGAAUUAUUGGGCGUAAAGCGCGCGUAGGCGGUUUUUUAAGUCUGAUGUGAAAGCCCACGGCUCAACCGUGGAGGGUCAUUGGAAACUGGAAAACUUGAGUGCAGGAGAGGAAAGUGGAAUUCCAUGUGUAGCGGUGAAAUGCGCAGAGAUGUGGAGGAACACCAGUGGCGAAGGCGACUUUCUGGUCUGUAACUGACGCUGAUGUGCGAAAGCGUGGGGAUCAAACAGGAUUAGAUACCCUGGUAGUCCACGCCGUAAACGAUGAGUGCUAAGUGUUAGGGGGUUUCCGCCCCUUAGUGCUGCAGCUAACGCAUUAAGCACUCCGCCUGGGGAGUACGACCGCAAGGUUGAAACUCAAAGGAAUUGACGGGGGCCCGCACAAGCGGUGGAGCAUGUGGUUUAAUUCGAAGCAACGCGAAGAACCUUACCAAAUCUUGACAUCCUUUGACAACUCUAGAGAUAGAGCCUUCCCCUUCGGGGGACAAAGUGACAGGUGGUGCAUGGUUGUCGUCAGCUCGUGUCGUGAGAUGUUGGGUUAAGUCCCGCAACGAGCGCAACCCUUAAGCUUAGUUGCCAUCAUUAAGUUGGGCACUCUAAGUUGACUGCCGGUGACAAACCGGAGGAAGGUGGGGAUGACGUCAAAUCAUCAUGCCCCUUAUGAUUUGGGCUACACACGUGCUACAAUGGACAAUACAAAGGGCAGCGAAACCGCGAGGUCAAGCAAAUCCCAUAAAGUUGUUCUCAGUUCGGAUUGUAGUCUGCAACUCGACUACAUGAAGCUGGAAUCGCUAGUAAUCGUAGAUCAGCAUGCUACGGUGAAUACGUUCCCGGGUCU
rnacentral:rRNA from 1 species